UGGUGAAUAUAUGAAUCCCAGAGCUG
rnacentral:piRNA from 1 species